AUCUGAACUCCAGCUGUUUGAAUAAUGUAUUGAAAAAUUCACACUUUUUUGCUUGAAAGCCGGCUACAACAAAUGAGUUUGUUAUUUUCUCUUCCUUUGUGGUUCUUUAUAUAUCACCUUGGUUUUGUACAUACACAAGCUCUUCCUUUGAUUCACGUAACAGCAAGGAGGAACUCUGGCAGAAGAUGCAGCAGUGGAGAUUGGAUCCAGGGAGCUGGGGCUAAGUUCCUCAUAUGAUGGUGAGUGUAAAAAAGUAGCACCUUCAGACUUGAACAUCAGUUUUCCUGACUUCCAGCAGAACAGUUGCAGGCUCUGACAAAUACAAAUGAAGAAAUCUUACUCCAAUUUUCAGAUCCAGGGUGGAAACCAGACAGUGGAAAGUAUGCAGCAAUGCUGAUGCAUUGUGAAAAGCAACAGAAUCAGUAAUACUGGAAUGCAUUUAAUUCUCCAGAGAAAGAAACUCCUCCUCACCUAUCCUUGGGCCAUGGCAUAGGCUGAAACCUUCCUUCUGUAAACCCGCCUGAGGUCUGCCCUCACUCUGCUCAGUGGACUGGUCAUCCAAGACUCGGGUCUCAUGUCACACUAGAGUAAACUGGGCUCCAGCUGCCAUUAAAGGGCUGUGAGACAGUCUGUAAAGUGACAGAAGAAACAAAAGUCUGGGGGAGAGAGAAAAUACCAGCAUGCAAAUGUGAGAAGGCCUGAUGGGAAGAGAGCAGAGAGGUGCAUCUAUCCUGACUUCAGGAUGUCUUUAUGCCUGGCUGAAGAUGCCCAAGUGAACCAGCCCAAUAGGGAGUAUAACAACAUUGGAGCAGCACAGCAGCUCCAUGGCUUGACCUUGGGGCACUGACUUGUCUCACAGAUGGGUCAAUAUUUGCCAAGACUCCACUUAGUAAUUGCCAUUCCUGUGGGAACUCUCUACAAGCAUUUCCUAGGAACAAGGAACACAGAAUAGGCAUCUAUAGACAAAAUUACAAAGCCUGACCUUGUGGUACUUAUGCCUCCACUAACUAGAACUGACUAUGUGGAUAUCUGUCAAAACUCUAACUAGGUCUCAUUUCACUUUGGUUUUUUUCCUACACAGUUCUGCAGAAAAGACUUCAUACAAAGUUGCUUUGAGAUACAUCAACAGAAGAACAGUCCAUGACAGAUGUCACCACCAUUACAGAUAGCUGACAGAUAGAGGUCCUGGACUGAAACUGUGUCCAAGGCCUGAAAAAAUAGAUGAUAAGAUUAUCAAAUCCCAGCACCUCACAGAGUUACAUUAAUAAUCCUAUGUAUGUAUGUAAUGGAUGUCAGUAAUCUGCUUUUGGCCCUUUCAGUUGCGCCUGCAAGGUCACUGACCCUCCUGAAGCAACUCCUCCAGCAGAAUCACUGCAGGAGGAUGCAGGCACAUCCCAUGUGGCAUUUUGGAUUGGCCCCCUAAAGCAGGGGCUCACAUGGCUGAAAGUAUUUCAGCUGCCUGUGGUACUGGGGCCACCACAAUGCUCAGCCACAGCUGUCAGCACCUGCAGGAGAAAGCUGAGCCCAGGGAAGCCGUGGAAAUGUGAUUGCUUGCUGUUGUAAGUAGGGUUAUUCACUGAUACUAUUACCAGGCAGCAAGUGAGAAAUGAGGAAUUGUGGCCAAGGCUCUUACUUAGCAUUGGAUGAGAGUAUAAUGUGUAGAAAACAAGGUGUUGUGCAGUGGACAAUUGCUUGUAGAACAGUUAGCCUUGCUCAGCUUUCGUGCCCCUAUUAAGAGAAAAGUGUUGAUAAACUGGCAAUUAGCUCUCAGAAGAGUCAAAAAAUUACUGAAGCAGAUUCUAUACUGCAAGACUUCAGGGCUCCUUCUAAGCAGCUCAGGAAGGACAAACACAUAUGCAACUGUUACAAUAUUGUUUAUGUAACUAGCAGGGUACAGCCAAAAUUUUAAGAGAACUUCAUAAAAUUAAAAGUAAGGGAUACAUCUGAGCAAUUCAGAAAAGGUUUCCAUCAAUUCUCUAAUGCAGACAUAAUUCUAAAUUAUAAUCAGGAGGUUUUAAGGAAGAUGUGCACAACUUCAAAUAGCUAGCAAGCCUUCAUUAAACAGGGCUGCUGGGCUUUGUUCCUAAUAUCCCUUCCUUUUCUUACAUUUAUUAAUCUACGGUUGCUGCCUCCUGAUGAAAUUUAGCUCCAUGCCUCCACCCAGUGGGCUUUUCUUAAUCUAGAACAAAAAGAGACCCUAAAAAGUGCAUUCAUGCACACAGGACCAGCAGAAGCAUUGGUGAUGUGAAUUAUUUCUUUCCAUCUUUUUUGUAGAGUUGCUCAGCUGAAAUGUAGACAGGCAUUUGAUAUUACCUUCUGACAACCACAAAUGUGAUAUCUUCAAAAAUGCUUUAAUAUUGUUUCAAUAAUAUGUUUGCCAUUGCUAUAAAAAUGAUAAUUGGGAAGCAUCCAAAUCCAGCUGGCACCAGACAAAAGCUUAAAUUUCAGAGUGUUUUUUUUUUAAAUCUAAAUAUCUGAAAUUAGUUUUAAUUUUUAAAAUAAAUGCAAAACAGAUUACAACACUGGCUUGUGAUUAUAAAUAACCCUUACUUCAUAGUACUCAUUUUUCAAUAUUUAAACUAAGGAAAAGUAUUUUUUACCUUUUUUCUUUCCAAUUGAGAUUAUUUAUUGACUUGCAAUGGCACUCCUGCAUUAAACUGGAAGAAUUAUCCUGGACAUAUACCCUAAAGAGCUUAUAACAAAAUGAGUUCUGUAGAUGUCAACUUCUCUCUUAAACUACAUAGGGUAUUUCAGAUAUAUGCUCUGGUUUUGUAGAACAGUGGUUCAUAUAUGCUGAAUAUUGUUUACAUUAAGAAACACAUGGUUGUUACCAGUUCUCCAACUGUC